UCCAACUUUAUCCUUACUCUGUAAACCGCGUGCAAUUUCUUUCUCUCACUGAUCAAUACCUCACCCACCACAUUUCACAUCCAGACAGAGCUUUUACAGCUUUAGCAGCUCACCUCUUCUUCUCUGCUACUUGUCUUCUGGUGAUGUUCUUCCCUAACAUCCGUCUACAAUCCCAUCGCUUCCAAUUAGCUCCCUCUGGCCAUAAUCAAUGAUAUUUACCUUCUAGACUUCGUGGAUCCGUCUGGGUUUGUUCAGGAAAUCUCUUCCAAGGUCAGCAGAGUGGUGGUUUCGGAUCACUACAAGACCGUAGUAGAUUGCAGUGAGAGUUCUUGUUCAGUUGGUGAGAAUGUGGAGAAGGUUAUUGACAUCCAGAGGAGUGAAGCUACUGUUGUUUUUUAUUAUUUCAAGGAAAGACCUGGUAGUGGUCUAAAAGAUUUGAAUUUUGUUUCGAUGACAGUUUUUGAUCUUUGAAUCCAUCUUCGUUCAAGCGUGUAAUUUGUUUUUAUCAGUUUAUUGAUUUUUUAUUUUAUUUUAUUUUAUUUUUUAAAGCUGUAAAGCUACAAAAUUCUCUCUUUAUUUGGGUGUAUAAGGCUUUUGCAUUUGCUUUUUUUGAAUUUGGAGGAUGUAAUUAGUCAGGAAUUAACCGGCUUAUCCUAGAAGCAGCAAUGAUUCUCUCGGUCAAUCAUAUGAGAUUGCUCUUGUGGCUGGAGCAUUUGGAGAUUGCCUGGCUAUGAAAGUUGAUUCUGUAUUGGAGUUGAGGAGUGAACUUGGUCAUAAAUUAGCCAACCAAAGCUGUAAUCUAAAGUUGAGGUGUUGAGGCUUUUAUGAAGUUUUCUUAUGAAGUUCUUAUGCCACCGUCUGAUCUUCGCUACUGGAGCUACAGCUAGGCUUAGCAGACAGAACCGUGAAAUUCUGGGAUUUGGAAACCUUCGAACUGAUUGGAUAUACAAGCCUCGGAGCCACCAUAUUUGACGUCUACUUGGUGAGCGAGCAGGUCUGCAGCCGAAGAGAGCUUGGGAGAGAGAAGAGAAAGAGAGAGAGAGUAUGUCUGCUGUAACAGCCCAGACCACCCGCAUCAGGAUAUUGUCCUCUUUGGCCCAGGGUUCACACCCUCUCUCCCCCCUGGCCUCAAGGUUUUGCUCACAAAACGCGUCCUGAAGGGAGAGGUAUCCAUAGCCUUAUAAAGGCCGCUUCGUGCCCCUCUCCAACCGAUGUGGGAUGUUACAUCUGCAGCUGGUGUUCUUUCUUAUAUUUUUUAUCAUUAAAGAAUGUUGCACUCAUCAUGUUCUAUGGUGCAAUACAUUGUUAAAAAAUAAUUGUAAAUUUGGAUGAUUUGUGAAAGAAAAAUUUAAACGCAAUUUUGAUGAUAAUUAAAAAGAUCCUCACCUUAAAAGCAUA